rnacentral:rRNA from 1 species
AAAUUGAAGAGUUUGAUCAUGGCUCAGAUUGAACGCUGGCGGCAGGCCUAACACAUGCAAGUCGAACGGUAACAGGAAGAAGCUUGCUGCUUCGCUGACGAGUGGCGGACGGGUGAGUAAUGUCUGGGAAACUGCCUGAUGGAGGGGGAUAACUACUGGAAACGGUAGCUAAUACCGCAUAACGUCGCAAGACCAAAGAGGGGGACCUUCGGGCCUCUUGCCAUCGGAUGUGCCCAGAUGGGAUUAGCUUGUUGGUGGGGUAACGGCUCACCAAGGCGACGAUCCCUAGCUGGUCUGAGAGGAUGACCAGCCACACUGGAACUGAGACACGGUCCAGACUCCUACGGGAGGCAGCAGUGGGGAAUAUUGCACAAUGGGCGCAAGCCUGAUGCAGCCAUGCCGCGUGUAUGAAGAAGGCCUUCGGGUUGUAAAGUACUUUCAGCGGGGAGGAAGGGAGUAAAGUUAAUACCUUUGCUCAUUGACGUUACCCGCAGAAGAAGCACCGGCUAACUCCGUGCCAGCAGCCGCGGUAAUACGGAGGGUGCAAGCGUUAAUCGGAAUUACUGGGCGUAAAGCGCACGCAGGCGGUUUGUUAAGUCAGAUGUGAAAUCCCCGGGCUCAACCUGGGAACUGCAUCUGAUACUGGCAAGCUUGAGUCUCGUAGAGGGGGGUAGAAUUCCAGGUGUAGCGGUGAAAUGCGUAGAGAUCUGGAGGAAUACCGGUGGCGAAGGCGGCCCCCUGGACGAAGACUGACGCUCAGGUGCGAAAGCGUGGGGAGCAAACAGGAUUAGAUACCCUGGUAGUCCACGCCGUAAACGAUGUCGACUUGGAGGUUGUGCCCUUGAGGCGUGGCUUCCGGAGCUAACGCGUUAAGUCGACCGCCUGGGGAGUACGGCCGCAAGGUUAAAACUCAAAUGAAUUGACGGGGGCCCGCACAAGCGGUGGAGCAUGUGGUUUAAUUCGAUGCAACGCGAAGAACCUUACCUGGUCUUGACAUCCACAGAACUUUCCAGAGAUGGAUUGGUGCCUUCGGGAACUGUGAGACAGGUGCUGCAUGGCUGUCGUCAGCUCGUGUUGUGAAAUGUUGGGUUAAGUCCCGCAACGAGCGCAACCCUUAUCCUUUGUUGCCAGCGGUCCGGCCGGGAACUCAAAGGAGACUGCCAGUGAUAAACUGGAGGAAGGUGGGGAUGACGUCAAGUCAUCAUGGCCCUUACGACCAGGGCUACACACGUGCUACAAUGGCGCAUACAAAGAGAAGCGACCUCGCGAGAGCAAGCGGACCUCAUAAAGUGCGUCGUAGUCCGGAUUGGAGUCUGCAACUCGACUCCAUGAAGUCGGAAUCGCUAGUAAUCGUGGAUCAGAAUGCCACGGUGAAUACGUUCCCGGGCCUUGUACACACCGCCCGUCACACCAUGGGAGUGGGUUGCAAAAGAAGUAGGUAGCUUAACCUUCGGGAGGGCGCUUACCACUUUGUGAUUCAUGACUGGGGUGAAGUCGUAACAAGGUAACCGUAGGGGAACCUGCGGUUGGAUCACCUCCUUA